CAAUAGCGUAUAUUAAAGUUGUUGCGGUUAAAAAGCUCGUAGUUGGAUUUCUGUCGAAGACGGCCGGUCCGCUCUAUGAGCGUGUAUCUGGUUCGGCUUUGGCAUCCUCGUGGGGAACGUAACUGUGCUUGAUUGCAUGGUACGGUAUUCACGACUUUUACUUUGAGGAAAUUAGAGUGUUCACGGCAGGCAAACGCCUUGAAUAUAUUAGCAUGGAAUAAUAAUAUAGGACCUUUGUUCUAUUUUGUUGGUUUCUAGAGCGAAGGUAAUGAUUAAUAGGGAUAAUUGGGGGCGAUUCGUAUUAACGCGUCAGAGGUGGAAUUCUUGGAUUGCGUUACGACGAACUACUGCGAAAGCAUUUGCCAAGGAUGUUUUCAUUGAUCAAGAACGAAAGUUAGGGGAUCGAAGACGAUCAGAUACCGU
rnacentral:rRNA from 1 species